rnacentral:rRNA from 1 species
CAGCAGUGGGGAAUAUUGCACAAUGGGGGAAACCCUGAUGCAGCAACGCCGCGUGAGUGAAGAAGUCAUUCGUGAUGUAAAGCUCUAUCAGCAGGGAAGAAAAUGACGGUACCUGACUAAGAAGCCCCGGCUAACUACGUGCCAGCAGCCGCGGUAAUACGUAGGGGGCAAGCGUUAUCCGGAUUUACUGGGUGUAAAGGGAGCGUAGACGGCGACGCAAGUCUGAAGUGAAAUGCCAGUGCUCAACACUGGAACUGCUUUGGAAACUGUGUGGCUAGAGUGCAGGAGAGGUAAGUGGAAUUCCUAGUGUAGCGGUGAAAUGCGUAGAUAUUAGGAGGAACACCAGUGGCGAAGGCGGCUUACUGGACUGUAACUGACGUUGAGGCUCGAAGGCGUGGGGAGCAAACAGGAUUAGA